CAAAUUUAAAUAGUCUUACUAGGAUCCACCACAUUGCUUGUAGAAACUAGCACAGCCGAAUUACACUGCUGUGGCCUCACCAUAAAGCUGAUUGCAAGGAUUGAUCUACAAGCUAUGGCCCAAAAACUGGUUUACUAAAUACAUGUCACAUUUUAAGGACAAGCUCAAACAUAAUGUACAUCCAAAAUUAAAGUGGGCCACAUCAUUAAAAACAACAAGGAUGCAAACACCACAAUUGAAACUUUCUCGGGCCCACUUUUUUUUUUAAAAUUUUUUUAUGCCCCAACUGUUCAUAAGUUGAUUCCCACUUUGAUUGAGGGCAGACACAAAUUCAGCCUAUAUGACUCCUCAUUGCAUUGUAUCUUUUGUCAAUAAUGACUAAUUUUCCUUCUCAAAUUGUUUUUUUCAACAGCGUUUUGCUGCAGUCAUAAUGCGGAUAAGGGAGCCGAAAACAACAGCUUUAAUAUUUACGUCCGGUAAAACGGUGAGUUAUUACUUCAUGGGUUAUGAGAGACUUCUAAUCGUAGAAGGAAGAUCUUGUGGCUGAUUAGAUUGCAACUCUUUUAAGAGAAUAAGUGCUAUGAACCUUUUCAUGAUAAUGUCGUAGGACUUAAAUACCACAGCAGGCAUCUGUGCUCUAAGCACCUAGAUGAUGCGAGUUUAUGGUUGUGCAAGGAAUGAAGAUUGGCAAGUCCAGGAAAUGACAGAAACUGAUGAAAUUUCCUAGUAUUUAUGGCGAAGAGUUCUACCUCAAAUUUCAGCAGGCACUUGUUAUUGGGGUUUUAUAAGUAGGGACUGCAGCAGCUAGAUCUCGUGUCACAUUUCAAUGAUCCAAACCGUUUAUAUGAUGGGCCUCAAAGCAGAUGGGGGUUAAGUAAAAUAACUCUCAGAUUUGGAUAUUUUCUUUGUUACUUCUUUUUCUGUCUUUCUCACAUCAAAUUCCAUUCUGAAUUUGUAGGCUGCUUGGAUGUCCUGCUCACAUUUGGGGCUUAUUCAACAGCUAGAGGCAUGGUGAUCUCAAGGCUGUUUAUUAGAUUCUUUUGGUUUGGACUCAGUUCAGUAUUUGUAACAUAUAUCUACAUGAAGGUUCUGGAGGAAAAGAUAACCGGAACUCAGAUUCUUUCUAUUUUUGGAUUUAUAUUCUUGUAUUGGGAGUUUAUACUGGCAUACACAUAUUUCUUGCUUUGCUACUUAAAUUCCCAGCUUGUCACACCUUGUCAGAGAUGUUUGAUCAGUGGUCAUUCUUUCAAUUUUUUAAGUGGAUUUAUCAGGUACUUUUAUAACUCAAAAUUUGAUUUUUGAGUCACUCGAAGCAGGUGACACCAUUGUCC